rnacentral:rRNA from 1 species
GGCCUGGCUGGACGGUCCGCCUUCCGGGCGAGUACUGUCUGUGGUCGGGUCCUACCUUCUGGCGAAGCGUCAUGGCCUUAACUGGCCGUGGCGAGGAACCAGGACUUUUACUGUGAAAAAAUUAGAGUGUUCAAAGCGGGCAAUCGCUUGGAUACAUUAGCAUGGAAUAAUGGAAUAGGACUAUGGUUCUAUUUGUUGGUUUCUAGGACCGUUGUA